UCUUUCUUCCCAGGAGAUUUGAACGCAUCAUGCCCAAACUGCCUGCCUACUCCGGUAGUGGCUACGUGUAAUUUAGAGAAAAAUGGCAGAUAGAAAAAACAAUAAUGUUCCUAACCCCGGUGCAAAUUUGUUAUUUAGUGGGGCUCCUGAGUUUAACUUCAAUUUGCCCUUUAUGCCAGUGAGUCAGGCUUCUGGUCCGGCGGUGCUGUCGGGAGAGGAUUCUACUGAAGUUGGCGAGGAAGACAGCUUUCUGGGUCAGACUUCUGGAAAUGUACAAGCUCCUUCUACCUUUAGCUACUUUUCUAACCCAGUAACCAGCAGUGACCCGUUUGCUUCGAUUGGCCAACCAUCAUGCCCACCCCCAUCAUCAUCAUCAGCAGCAGCAGAAGCAGCCUUGUGUGCUGUCACGCAGUCUGUUCCAAGCAGUGUUAACAUGGCUCCUCUGAUGCCUCCCAGCUCACAGUUGAACACUACUUCUCCUGUUUUCAGCAGUACAGUAUAUCACAGCCCAAUGGGGCGCCACACUCCUCCCCCUAGUACAAUGACCACGCCACCUCCACAGAUGCAACCACAGAGUCAUAAUCCCUAUAGACACACCGCCACCAGCAGCAAAGCCAGUCCUUAUAUUCCAGCUCCAGAGGUUCUGCCGCAAAGCCACACAUCACAACACAAUCCCUACUCUGUCACCUCAGGGUCGCAACCAUUCCCACUGUCCGGACCCACAUUCACAAAGCCUCCUCCCGCUCACAUGCAGUCACCACCACCACUUCCUCCAGCCAAUCCUGCUGGUGCAGUCGUGCCUGCUGGCCCCAUGAUGCAGUACAACUACAAUGUUUAUGAGCCUCUUCAGCCACACUGGUUCUACUGCAAGCUAGUGGAAUCCAAAAAUGUGUGGCUUCCUUUCAGCAUCAUCGACUCCCUCCAGCUUGAGGAGACUUUUAACUCUGUUCAGCCAGACCCAGAAAAUGUGAUCGUGCGUACAGACGGUGGCCGAUUUGAUGUGCAUCUCUAUGACCGCAUGCGAUCAGCGGUCUACUGGGAGGAGGAGGAUUCGGAGGUUCGCCGCUGCACUUGGUUUUACAAAGGAGAUGCGGAUAGUCGCUUCAUCCCUUAUUCUGAGGAAUUCAGCGACAAACUAGAGGCAGAAUAUAAGAAAGCUGUCUCUACCAACCAAUGGCACCGUAGACUGGAGUUCCCUUCUGGAGAAACCAUUGUCAUGCACAAUCCAAAGGUGAUAGUGCAGUUCCAGCCCACUUCUAUGCCUGAUGAGUGGGGAACCAAUCAGGAUGCACAGACCAGGCCCAGAGUGGUGAAGAGAGGGGUUGAUGAUGACCAUGAUCAAGUCCCCGACGGUGAGCUCCCCAAAGUGGACCAUCUUGUGUUCAUGGUUCAUGGAAUUGGUCCCGUAUGUGACCUGAGGUUUCGAAGCAUUGUUGAGUGUGUGGACGACUACCGCAGCGUGUCUCUGAAACUGCUGCAGAGUCACUUUAAGAAACCCUUGGACGAUCACACCAUCAGUCGGGUGGAGUUCCUGCCUGUCCAUUGGCACACGGCCCUCCAUGGCGAUGCCACAGGGGUGGACAGGAGAAUAAAGAAAAUCACUUUGCCCAGCACAGGACGAUUACGUCACUUUACAAAUGAGACCUUGUUAGAUGUGCUAUUCUACAACAGUCCUACAUACUGCCAAACCAUCAUGGACACAGUUUCCUCAGAGAUCAACCGACUUCAUGCCCUGUUCAUGAAGAGAAACCCUGAUUACAAAGGAGCAAUAUCCGUUGCCGGGCACAGCUUGGGGUCCCUUAUACUCUUUGACCUGCUGUCAAAUCAAAAGACUGACAUGACCUCUCCUGCGGUGCCAGCCAUCAAUGGAGGAGUGCAACAGGUGGCAGCUCCGGUUGCACCCGCCGUCAUCCCUCCAGCUGCCGAGGAGGAGCCCAAAGAGGAGGAACCAGAGGACCUUUCCGCUGUGCUGGAGCAUCUUGGACUGUCCGAGUACAAGAGCACCUUUGACGAGGAAAAGAUUGACAUUGAAUCUUUUCUCAUGUGUACAAUUGAGGACUUGAAGGAGAUGGGAAUUCCCCUUGGUCCCAGGAAGAAAAUCGCCAAAUUUGUCAAAGAAAGAGUCACGAAACAGGAGAAGGAAGCUGAGGUGCAGGUGGUCAGUCAAGUGGGAGAGCCCGCACAAGCUGCUGAGACCGGGCCUGACAAGAAUCUGCCAGCAGGCGUCUCCUCCAUCCACGUCGACUAUAACUACUUUGAAGUUGGUACUGGACAGGUGUCGGUGGUCUACCACAACCUAGACUUCAGUCCGGUGAAUUUCUUUGCCUUGGGUUCUCCAAUUGGCAUGUUCUUGACUGUCAGAGGCUUGGAGAAGAUUGAAGAGGACUAUCAGCUGCCAACUUGUAAAGGAUUCUUCAACAUUUACCAUCCGUUGGACCCGGUGGCUUACAGGAUUGAGCCCAUGAUAAUACCAGACUUGGAAUUGAAGCCUGUUUUGAUACCGCAUCACAAAGGAAGGAAAAGGCUUCAUCUCGAGCUGAAGGAGAGUCUCUCCAGAAUGGGCUCGGACCUAAAGCAUGGAUUUAUCAGUUCGUUGAGGAGCGCGUGGCAGACACUCAACGAUUUUGCUCGCGCCCACACCUCCUCUGCGCAACUUCAGGCAGAAUUGGCUAUGGUGGCCGAUCAGAUUGAAGAACAGGAGAAAAGAGCACAAGAUUGUGAGCCUCUAAAAAAACCCAGAGAUCCCUGAACCACAGAAAGAAGAAGAGCCUGAGGUCAGGAUCGGGAUGCUGAAUGGAGGGAAUCGGAUCGACUUUGUCCUUCAGGAGAAGCCCAUUGAAAGUUUCAAUGAGUAUUUGUUCGCCCUACAGAGUCAUCUGUGCUACUGGGAGUCUGAAGACACAGCUCUGCUUAUCCUCAAGGAGAUCUACAAAAGCAUGGGGGUGCAGCCAGAACAUGGUACAUUAGCACAAUAAAACCCCAUCACGAAAUACUUUUUCAUUUGGAUUAUUUCGUGCCUGGAUUGUUUGUCAUUUCUUUUGCUGUCUAUCUACAUGAUUUUCUGUAGGCAAAUGUGUAAUACAACCAUAUUAUGGUGCAGACCCAAUUCUAAUGAAGUUGAGAUGUUGUUCUUAAACAUAAACAAAAACAGAAUACAACAAUUUGCAAAUCAUGUUUGGCCUAUAUUUAAUUUAAAACACUACAAAGACAAGAUAUUUAAUGUUCAAACUGAUUUUGUUUUUACCAAAUGAUGAGUUACUGUAACUGUAAUUGUUGAAGCUUUCGAGGUGGAACUCUCUCAUUCUUUUGCUUGAUGCAUAGCUUCAGGUGUUCCACAGUCCAGGGUCUCCGUUAUCGUAUUUUAUGCUUCAUGAUGCCCAAAAGUUACUGAUUAUUUGCUAAAAACAAUAAAGUUUCUCAGUUUGAACAUUAAAUAUCUUGACUUUGUCAUGUAUUUCAUUAAAUACAGGUUGAACAUGAUUUGCGAAUGAUUGAAUGCCGUUUUUCCUUUAUUUUUAACACAACGUCCCAACGCCAUUAGAAUUGGGUUUGUUUUUGUCUUAAAUUAAGAAAAGUGAAUGCCAUUGUAGAUUUAAAGAGGUGACAUGUUUAUUAUAACAUUUUGUAGUAUAAAUUAUACAGCUUGACAAGGAAAGGAAUGUGCGUCAUAUGAUAAAAUGGCAACAGAUAGCAACAAAUUAGCAGCAGUUUUUGAAUAAAGCCUUUUCUGAGUCCAAUGGGGAAAUUGCCCAAUACAUUAUUUCCUUGCA